rnacentral:tmRNA from 1 species
UUUUUUAUUGUUAUAAAUUUUAAACCCUAUAUGAAGAAAGGGCUAAUUUAUUAGAUAUGAUGAUAAACGCGCUUGUAAUAAACGGACUGGACCCGGGGGCGGUACCCGGCGGCUCCACCAAAAAUACAUUAUCAAAUGUAUUUUUUAUGGGGCCGAAAUAGGAUCGACAGACGUCUAAAGAAGUAUGCUUUCAUCCGUAUGGGUACCGUUAAAUGCCUAAAUAUAGUAAUUGCAAAUGAUAAUUACACUGAAGAGUUUGCCCUCGCUGCGUAAGCAGUGCGGAAAAAUUCGCUUUAACUCCUAGCCGUUCAAUCCGUUAGGCGGGCUUCGGGAGGUAGCUGGCAACAGAAACCUCUCAAU